AAAUUAAUUACGAUAAUUUCUUGACAAAGAAUUAAUUUGAAAUUUGAACAAUGCAAAUACCCCGCGUCGGAAGCGAUUCGUGAUUGCGCGAAAGUUAAUGCGCGAUAAACAGCAGUUUCUUUCCCUUUUAAACACAGCAAGAUGUCGAAGAGAGGACGUGGUGGUUCUGCCGGAGCAAAAUUUAGGAUAUCACUGGGCUUACCAGUUGGGGCAGUUAUAAAUUGCGCCGAUAAUACUGGU